CCUACGGGUGGCAGCAGUCGAGAAUCAUUCACAAUGGGGGAAACCCUGAUGGUGCGACGCCGCGUGGGGGAAUGAAGGUCUUCGGAUUGUAAACCCCUGUCAUGUGUGAGCAAAUUAAAAAGAUAGUACCACAAGAGGAAGAGACGGCUAACUCUGUGCCAGCAGCCGCGGUAAUACAGAGGUCUCAAGCGUUGUUCGGAAUCACUGGUCGUAAAGGGUGCGUAGGCUGUUUCGUAAGUCGUGUGUGAAAGGUGGCGGCUCAACCCUAAGAUGGCAAAUGAUACUGCGAGACUAGAGUAAAGUUGGGGGAACCGGAAUUCUCGGUGUAGCAGUGAAAUGCGUAGAUAUCGCGAAGAACACUCAUGGCGAAGGCAGCUUCCUAGACAUUAACUGACAUUGAGGCACGAAGGCCUGGGGAGCGAACGGGAUUAGAUACCCUAGUAGUC
rnacentral:rRNA from 1 species